AAAUACCAAGUGUUAAACCUGCUAUUUGAAUACCAAAGACAAGUUGAGGCCUGCGCAAGGAAUCAUGUGCCAAUGUAUUUUGGUAAUAUCACAACCUGUCUCAAAAAAAAAAAGAAAGAGAGAGAGAGACCACAUCCAAAUUUUGCACAUCCAAUUGAUUAAAAUGAUUUAACGAUUCACCAGAAAAAAGACUGGUAUUUUCACUGCAGUGAACCAGACACUUAAAGGGUAACUAGACCCCAAAAUGAAAAUGUUGUCAUUAAUCACUUACCCCCAUGUCGUUCCAAACCCGUAAAACUUUUAUUCGUCUUCAAAUUUACGAUUUAACUGUUUAUUGAAAUAGCAGUAUUUUGAUGUAGGAAACUGGACGUAUUUGUACAGCAAUUGUUUUUACAGUUUACCAUGAGUAAUAGUGCAAAACAUACAGCUGACAAUAAUUCUAAUACUUAUUGCACUGACAACCAAGAAUCUCCAGAGGCAAUACAGCAAUACAUCUUACAUUCAGUUCCUAAACUAAAUUAUGCCUUAACACUUCAACUUGAUCAUACAGGAAGUGACUUUUAACACCAUUUUUAUACUAUACUUAGCAGCAGUUAGCAUCAAACAAGACCUCAUUGUUGCUGCUAGAUGAUGCUGGUUCGUACUACUGAGUCUACUUAGGAUAAGAUUUAUUCGGGAAGAUAUGACAGCAAAAGAGACCUGUGACAAUUUUGGCGACUGGCCUCGCUACUUCUUGUUCUGUGUCUGGGUCGUCGACAUUGGCAUGAUAUUUUUGGUUUAUCACUUGAAAACACGUUUGAAAGAAAUAACUGAAAAAUUCCAAAGGGACAGACAUGAAGAAGAGGACUAUAUCAACUACAGAACAAGCUGAAGCAAUAAUUGAGCAAUUAAUAUAAAACUACUCCCAUACAAAUUUGACCGUACAAAGAAAUGAUUUCUUGUAUUGGAGUGUCUUUAUAUAGACCUAUUUCAUUAAAUGAAUUUAUGUUCAUCACAUUCAAAUGUAUAAUUUGUGUGGCAGUCUGCAGUAAAUUAUAAUAAGUACAGCUUGAUAAUGUGUUGCUCAGCUAUUCUGAUAAAAAAAAAUACUUUGCUUAUACUGAAAAGAUAAUACACUUGUAUAAUAUCUUAAUACAACGAUUGUAUAUAACCUUUUUUACCUGUCACAAAAAAGCCUGAGUUUCAGGUGGGUCUGGAUAUUAUCCCUAAGUAAACGCUUAAAGGAACUGUUCACUCAAAAUGUGAGAAGAUUCAAUAUGCUAUAUUUUUGUGUAAAAAAUAAUGAUAAAAGUCUCAACUUCUUUUGUUGACACCUGUGAAGGAUUUUUUUAAUUAAUCAUAACAUUUCUUUUUCUUGCAGUCUUAACAUUUGUAUGCUUUUGAGUACUAAAUGUCCCCAACACUUAAUUUCAUCCAUGUGUUGCAAUAAAAAGAUGCUGAUGCUGGCCAAAUGGGUGUCCUAAGCAGGAUUGUAUUGUUGUGCCCCCCUCUCUCAAAUAUUAUCAAAGUACAAAAAAAAAAAAACUACUAUGGGGUCGAUAAAAAGUAAAUAUAUAAAAGUAUAUAAAUAUAAAAUAUAAAAGUAAAUAAUAUAAAAGUAAAUAAAUAAAUUGUAAUUAAAUUGUAUUAUUUACAAAUUAAAGUUGUAGCUCUAGACAGUUACAUAUGGCUAUUAUUUUAUUAAUACAGUUGUCUGAUUGAUUUUAUAGUCUCAAGAAUUCGGAAAUCACGCAAAAGAAAAAUUAAGCAGUUUUACUCAAUAAAACCAUGGUUAAUUUUUGUAAGUAUUGUGAUGUCCACAUGUUUUUUGUUGAAUAAUUUUUUCAUAUAAUGCAUUUUAAGUCAUUGUGGUGGCAGAAAAACACUGGUAACAAAUGGAGAGAAACGGGUUAAAUUCAUGGAAUAGGAGGAAAUAUUGUAUUGC